rnacentral:misc_RNA from 1 species
UUUCCGUAGGUGAACCUGCGGAAGGAUCAUUAAAAAAUUGGACUCCAUUGGUGAGUUCAUUAAUAAUCCCUACCCUUUGUGAAUUUGUUUGUUUGAAUAAUUUUUUUUCCAAAAAAAAUUAUUGAAUGUCUUUCCCUGUUUUGUGGAGCUUGUAAAGUGAAACCAGGCAGGGGAAUGGCAAACAAUAAUUAUUUUUGAAAAAAGACCUUUUUUUAAAAUUAAACUUUUUGUAUUCAUUUGUCUAAAAUUAUUUUUAUAAUAUAAAAACAACUUUUGACAAUGGAUCUCUUGGUUCUCGCAACGAUGAAGAACGCAGCAAAAUGCGAUAAGUAGUGUGAAUUGCAGAAUACGUGAAUCAUCGAAUCUUCGAACGCAUAUUGCACUUUUUUAGUUUACUAAAAAAGUAUGUCUGUUUGAGUAUCAGUAAAAUAUUCUCAUAAAAAACAUUGUUUUUUAUGGUUAUGAGUGUUUUACAACGAUAACAAGUUGUUUCACUUUAAAUUCUUUGUUAUCAAAAAAAUCAUUAAAAGCUAAUUUAAAGAUUUUUUAAAAUUGGAUAAAAUUUUCCCGUAAAAAGGAAUAACCUAAACAAUUUUAAAAAAUUAAAAUUGGUUUGAUUUUUUUGAAACCCAAAGGAAAAAAAACGAAAUUAACCUUGAUCUCAAAUCAGAUAAGAGUACCCGCUGAACUUAAGCAUAUCAAUAAGCGGAGGAAGAAACUAACUAGGAUUCCCUCAGUAACGGCGAGUGAAGCGGGAAGAGCUCAAAUUUGAAAUCUUCAAGGUUUUACCUUGACGAAUUGUAGUUUAAAGAAGUGUUUCUGUUGGAGUUUUGGUAAAAGUUCUUUGGAAAAGGACAUCAUAGAGGGUGAGAAUCCCGUAUUUGACCAUUAUCUCCAGCUUUGUGAUACACUUUCAAAGAGUCGGAUUGUUUGGGAAUGCAGUCCAAAAUGGGUGGUAAAUUUCAUCUAAAGCUAAAUACUGGCGAGAGACCGAUAGCGAACAAGUACCGUGAGGGAAAGAUGAAAAGAACUUUGAAAAGAGAGUUAAACAGUACGUGAAUUGUCAAAAGGGAAGCGUUUGACACCAGUGUUGUUUUCUCGAAAAUCAAUUAAAAAAGGCCGGAUUUUGUGUUGUAUUGACUUUAUCAGCUUUCUGCACUUUUUUCUUGUCUUUUUUAAUGCACUUUUCGUUUAACAAGUCAACAUCAAUUUCUUUUGUUGUAAAAGGGUCAUUGGAAGGUGGCUUUCUUUUCGGAGAAAGUGUUUAUAGCCUUUGGCCUCUGCAAUCGGAGAGAUUGAGGUCUGCAGCGUAGAUCCUUCGGGGUUAGAUACAUUUGUGCUAAGUUAUAGCCUUUCAUAGACAACUUGUUGACUAUGAUCAGUCAUGUAGCUUACUCGCUUAUGCUAUU